UCCGUAGGCGGGCAGCUAAGUCAGUGGUGAAAGUCUGCAGCUCAACUGUAGAAUUGCCAUUGAUACUGGUUGUCUUGAAUUAUUAUGAAGUGGUUAGAAUAUGUAGUGUAGCGGUGAAAUGCAUAGAUAUUACAUAGAAUACCAAUUGCGAAGGCAGAUCACUAAUAAUAUAGUGACGCUGAUGGACGAAAGCGUGGGGAGCGAACAGGAUUAGAUACCCUGGUAGUCC
rnacentral:rRNA from 1 species